CAUCAGGGCUCAGUGACCAUGGACUGAAACUGUGAUUCCAAAUAAACCUUUCCUCCUUUAAGUUGAUCAUCUCAAGUAUUAUGUUACAGUAACGGAGAGCUGACUGAUAAUCCACCAGAUUAAAAUGACCUAGUAGAACUUUCUCCUCUGGCAAGAAAGAAGUCUUCUCUGGUGACCUUUACUAAAGGAGCCCCCUACCUGUUCCAAGAAUAGGAUCAGACCCUGUGUAGGUGCUCAGUAAAUACCGUCGGGGUGAAUGACAGACUGUGUCAUGCUUUUGCCCAUGAGACUUAACCCAAGGAGGAAAAGGAGGAGAAGAAAUCCAAGGAAUUUGAACCACUUCAAAGAAAAACGUUAAAAAGACAACAUUCUAGCAAAGCACAACCUCAUGUACUCGCUGGGCACCGUCCAGGUACUAACUGUGCUGAGCCUUCAAUGUGAGGUCCCUCAUCUAAUCCUCAUGUGGCCUUAGGAAAUAGGUGCUCUUAGUACCCCUAAUAAAUAGAUGAAGAUGUUGAAAAAAUAUCAGCUAGAAAAAACGCAACCUUUUGCGUAAGAGCUCAGGAAGGUUCAAAAUUAG
rnacentral:lncRNA from 1 species